CAGUCGCCGCGGGAAUACGAAGGGUGCAAGCGUUACUCGGAAUUACUGGGCGUAAAGCGUGCGUAGGUGGUGGUUUAAGUCCGUUGUGAAAGCCCUGGGCUCAACCUGGGAAUUGCAGUGGAUACUGGAUCACUAGAGUGUGGUAGAGGAUAGUGGAAUUUCCGGUGUAGCGGUGAAAUGCGUAGAGAUCGGAAGGAACAUCUGUGGCGAAGGCGACUAUCUGGGCCAACACUGACACUGAGGCACGAAAGCGUGGGGAGCAAACAGGAUUAGAUACCCUCGUAGUCCCUGUCUCUUAUAC
rnacentral:rRNA from 1 species